rnacentral:lncRNA from 1 species
CAAAUAACAACAAAGAACAGCCCAGAUAGCAAAAUGUGCGCAAACAUGUCUUUUAGACUUCUAAAAGAUGUCUAAAAGACGUCCUACUUCUUUUAGAAGUCUUUAAACAUCUUUGUAGACAUUGUGCUAUCUGGGAGGUAAACAAAAACAGAUCGAUUGCGUAUCUUGAAACGUGGUGAAUUCUAGUAAAUUCACUCACUUUUGUCAUUCACUUGUUUCAAUACACGCAAUCGACUCCCAGACCUCGUGACUUCCUACCGAAAAGAAACCGUGCGGUUCAAGGAUCCGAUAUUUAUCAAAGGUUUACAACGGAAUUGACACAAUAUUCGGACUGUACCAGUAGUACUUGGUUGUUGUCCUCCGUCUUCACACAAUUAUCGCCAUAGAAAUUAUCUAAUUUAAUGAAUUACUUGCUGAUAAAUUCCUCGAUAAGUUCAGCAGUGCAAUUCCAAACAACAGACCUCAUGACUUCCCACCGAAAAGAAACGUGCGGUUCAAGGAUCCGAUAUUUAUCAAAGGUUUACAACGGAAUUGACACAAUAUUCGGACUGUACCAGUAGUACUUGGUUG